rnacentral:lncRNA from 1 species
AGAGCUUUCAAGGAGAGCUUUCUCAGGCUUGUCUGUUUUUAAAAUGUGGAAUUCACAGAGGUGGACACAGCUUCCAAAUGGCUCAAACAAGAUGUCAGCCCUCAGAGCCAGCCAGCCAUUGCUUCCCUCCAGGCACAGAGGAAGUUCCUAGCAGCCUCAAUCAGGAAAAUCAUUUCCAUGGGUGGUUUUUCCCUCCUUACUAAAUAUCAAUUAAUGCGAAACCAGCACAUAACCUCUAUGACAGGCCUGAGAAUCUCCUUUCCUUUCCAGGAGAGAAUGGAGGAGCAGAAAAGGUGCCAUAGUUAAAUAUACCAGACUAGACCCUAUAUCCAAGAGAAUACAUAUAAUGAUUAAAUUCAUUGUUUAAUUCCCCAUUGCACAAAGCAAACUUCACAGAAAGAGAAGAAAAUGCCAUUUUCUACGAUCUGAAUCAGCCAUUACAAUGAAGAAAUCCUCUGAAGGAAAGGAACAGCAUCACCCAGUAAUGACAAGGUAAUUUCCAGUGGCAGAGGGAGGAUGCACCUGAUGGGAGCUGGGCACGACUCUCCUGGAAUGACACAGAGUGGUUUCCAGAGGACUGCAGACACAGGACCACACCGUCAUCUGUUUCAGACUGGGGUUGCAUUGACUCCCUGAGAAAAAAGCACAACUUCCUUUUUGUCUUUUAAUUUCAGCUGUUCUGAUUUUGUUCUGUUCUCAACUCUGUUCGUUGCAGUCCCUCAGAGUUUUUGACUCUGUGGCACCAGUUCAUUGUAUCUCCUGCAGCUGGGAUUGGAGGAGGCUCACCUAGUUCUCCCCAGCACACACCUGAGUGAUGACACACACAGUUAGACAAGUCUACAUGUUUUGACAACCGUGCUGUUUGCAGCCACAACUUCCCAGCACAGACAUGCACAGCUUCAUUUUUGUGAGGCAGCUGCAGCUUCUGGGCCCUUAUAUCACAUUGGGUAUUUUUGUUUUGUCUUAUCUAUUGCUCUGCAUGUCUACAAGUACCCACUGCCUCUGACAGACACUUCUAACCACAUAGACAACCCUGUUUUCAGUUUUCUAUUGAACAAGAUGUCAGCAGAUGACAACCCAUGCUCCACUGAUGUCAUUUGUGAUCCUAACUCCUGCAUUUCUGGAGACAAAGCCAGCCUGAAGAAUUUCAAAGCUUAGGAAGCACACAAACCAAAAUAUACAGUAGAUGGUGACAAUUUCUUCCCAGAAGACUGACAAACCCAAGACUGAGCCACUCUUGAGAGUUGCCCCCAUAGUCAAAGAUUAAGAUAUAUUCAG